GAUGAACGCUGGCGGCGUGCCUAAUACAUGCAAGUCGAGCGAACGGACGAGAAGCUUGCUUCUCUGAUGUUAGCGGCGGACGGGUGAGUAACACGUGGAUAACCUACCUAUAAGACUGGGAUAACUUCGGGAAACCGGAGCUAAUACCGGAUGAUAUUUUGAACCGCAUGGUUCAAAAGUGAAAGACGGUCUUGCUGUCACUUACAGAUGGAUCCGCGCUGCAUUAGCUAGUUGGUAAGGUAACGGCUUACCAAGGCAACGAUGCAUAGCUGACCUGAGAGGGUGAUCGGCCACACUGGAACUGAGACACGGUCCAGACUCCUACGGGAGGCAGCAGUAGGGAAUCUUCCGCAAUGGGCGAAAGCCUGACGGAGCAACGCCGCGUGAGUGAUGAAGGUCUUCGGAUCGUAAAACUCUGUUAUUAGGGAAGAACAUAUGUGUAAGUAACUGUGCACAUCUUGACGGUACCUAAUCAGAAAGCCACGGCUAACUACGUG
rnacentral:rRNA from 1 species